UUUUUUUUUUAAUAUUUAUUUUUCAGUUUUUGGGGGACACAACAUCUUUGUUUGUAUGUGGUGCUGAGGAUCGAAUCCGGGCCGCACGGCCGCUCGCUUGCCAGGCGAGCGCGCUACCGCUUGAGCCACAUCCCCAGCCCAGUCGCAGGAUUUUCUCAAGCAAAUCGCUCACAUCUCUGCGCCUCUGCCCUCCUGUAAAAUGGGACAAACAACGCUUGCCAGUUCGUUACUGUUCCAUACGUGCCAUGGCUCUUCAUCUUGCACCCUCAAAACCUAGCUGUUAAGACCCUGGGUGGGAUCCCCAGCAUCACUGAUACAAAACACACGAUUAGAUCAAGUGGAGUUAUGUCAUUUGUGGGGGACAGGGAUGGAACCCAAGGCCUGUACCAGUAAGUUACACCCCCCAGCCCUUGCAUUUUGUACUCAAGGAAGUUAAGAGAAAGGGAGGCCCACUGUCGAACUCAGCGCUGGGGCCAGCUGGACCUCAGGGCCAGAUGCAGGGGGGAACCUGGAG
rnacentral:lncRNA from 1 species